rnacentral:misc_RNA from 1 species
GCAAACUUGGUCAUUUAGAGGAAGUAAAAGUCGUAACAAGGUUUCCGUAGGUGAACCUGCGGAAGGAUCAUUAUCGAAUUGUAAGGACUCGGUUGUCGCUGGCUCUCUCUGGGAGCAUGUGCACGCCGCGUUCAAACUCUUCAUUCUUUAACCUCCUGUGCACCUUUUGUGGACUGUGGAUGGAUAACCAGUCGAGCUAACACUCGGUCUUGCAGAUUGCGCCUAACCCGCGCUCUCUGCUGCAUCUGUCCGCGGUUCAUGUCUUACCACACACCAUGUAUUAAACCUAGAAUGCUUAACAGUUGGGACUAGUGCCCUUCUUAAACAAAUACAACUUUCAACAACGGAUCUCUUGGCUCUCGCAUCGAUGAAGAACGCAGC